GGAAUCUUCGGCAAUGGACGAAAGUCUGACCGAGCAACGCCGCGUGAGUGAAGAAGGUUUUCGGAUCGUAAAACUCUGUUGGUAGAGAAGAACGUUGGUGAGAGUGGAAAGCUCAUCAAGUGACGGUAACUACCUAGAAAGGGACGGCUAACUACGUGCCAG
rnacentral:rRNA from 1 species